CCUGGCUGUAAUGUGCCACAUAGUAAUUGGUGAACUGGCAGUAACCAGUUUACUCACUGGUUUCUACUUUGUGCAGCGUUGUUGUUAAAGGUGGGGAACCGUAUCUUAAUGGCAGUCAGUCCAAUCUGCUUGUUAACUCACUUGGACAUGUUCUUCAGGCCUACAUCAAUGGCAAAUUUGCAGGUAAUAGGACAGUGCAAACUCCUUAAGAUUACAUUUGAAUCAUCAUGUUAAUUCUGAACAGUCAUCUUCCAUGCAUAAGGUGUAUUUGUGUAUUGAAACACAACUGUUGAAAUCUUACCAGGCAGCGCCAAGGGCAGUGCUACUAGCUCCCUCAUCUCGUUGCAAACACCAAUUACACUUGUGCCUGGGAAGAAUAAAAUAGAUCUCCUGAGUGGAACAGUUGGGCUGUCGGUAAGUCAAUAUCCACUCUGCUCCAUUUUGAUGUCCGUCUCUACUUAGUCAUCUUAGAUUAAGUAUUCAAAAAAACAAGACUACAUCUAAUACCCAAUUAUUAACAUUACUCUUCCUCAACUCCACUGGUACUUCAGAACUAUGGUGCAUUCUUUGACCUAGUUGGUGCUGGAAUUACCGGUCCAGUAAAGCUGAGUGGACCAAAAGGAGUGCUCGAUCUAUCUUCUACAGAUUGGACAUACCAGGUGUGUACACUCCAGUAAUAUACUGUCUCUGCGUUAAAUAACUAUUGGCAAAUAUUGUUGGUUUUCCUUGUCAUAAUACUUUUUUUCUCCAGGUAGGACUCAGAGGAGAAGGCUUGCAUCUAUAUAAUCCUUCAGAGGCCUCCCCAGAAUGGGUAUCGGACAAAGCUUACCCAACCAAUCAACCAUUGAUCUGGUACAAGGUCAGUCUAAUCCUCUAAUCCAGGAACUAUGCUACCUGCAGCAUUUGGAGUUAAUGUACUAACUCUAAUGCUCCAAAUGCAGAGCAAAUUUACAACUCCUGCAGGUGAUGAUCCUGUUGCCAUAGACUUCACGGGAAUGGGAAAAGGUGAGGCGUGGGUGAACGGGCAGAGCAUUGGUCGCUACUGGCCAACAAAUCUCGCUCCACAAAGCGGCUGUGUUAAUUCAUGCAACUACAGAGGACCUUACAGUUCGAGCAAAUGCCUAAAGAAAUGUGGGCAGCCAUCACAGACUCUGUAAGAAUCCUCUCCAAGAAACUCAUACUAUGUUUCGAUCCCUACAGAGUGACAGUACCUAUUCUGAUAAUUUUAUAUGUUCUUAUAUGAAAAGGUUUAAGCACUCUUUCAGAGAGAUGCUGCAUUUAGGUGUUCACGACAUUUAUUUACUCCUAUAAAAGACUCAAUCUGCAGUAGCGGUCUGUCAUUCCGGACUGCAUCACCUUUUGACUCACAUGCUGAUUUGACACAUUGAAAUGAGAAUGAAUAUGGAUUGAUAGAAUAAGAUAAUAGAUAGUGAUAGCACACUAAUCUCUUUAAACAUGUACUUUUAGUCCAUCACAACGUACGGGCAUUGUGCUAGUAUUCUUUAUUUUGAGAUCAAAGUACUUCCAUACUGAUCGCUUGCUAGUACUAAAAAAAUGAAGGCCAGAUAGUUUCGGCAUUAAAUUUAUGACAGCCAUAACACUGAAAAAUAUAGUUCUUUAUUCAUGGUGCAAGAAAUGCAUGAACUGCUAGAAUUGAAUGACUAAUUCAGUUUCAUACCUUCUUAAACAGGUAUCAUGUACCCCGUUCGUUUCUCCAACCAGGCAGCAAUGAUAUAGUCCUUUUUGAGCAGUUUGGUGGUGACCCGAGCAAGAUAUC
rnacentral:lncRNA from 1 species